UGGCGCACGGGUGAGUAACGCGUGGGUAAUCUACCUCCGAAUUGGGGAUAACACUGCGAAAGCGGUGCUAAUACCGAAUGACAUCUCAGGGACCUCGGUCUCUAAGAUCAAAGGUGGCCUCUACAUGUAAGCUACUGUUUGGAGAUGAGCCCGCGUACCAUUAGCUAGUUGGUAGGGUAAUGGCCUACCAAGGCUUCGAUGGUUAGCUGGUCUGAGAGGAUGACCAGCCACACUGGAACUGACACACGGUCCAGACUCCUACGGGAGGCAGCAGUGAGGAAUUUUGCGCAAUGGGGGAAACCCUGACGCAGCAACGCCGCGUGAGUGAUGAAGGCUUUCGGGUCGUAAAGCUCUGUCAAGUGGGAAGAAUAUGCCCUGUGAUAAUACCAUGGGGCACUGACAGUACCACUGAAGGAAGCACCGGCUAACUCCGUGCCAGCAGCCGCGGUAAUACGGGGGGUGCAAGCGUUAUUCGGAAUCAUUGGGCGUAAAGGGCGCGUAGGCGGCCCCUUAAGUCAGAUGUGAAAGCCCUCAGCUUAACUGAGGAAGUGCAUUUGAAACUAAGGGGCUUGAGUAUGGGAGAGGGAAGCGGAAUUCCUGGUGUAGCGGUGAAAUGCGUAGAUAUCAGGAGGAACACCGGUGGCGAAGGCGGCUUCCUGGACCAAUACUGACGCUGAGGCGCGAAGGCGUG
rnacentral:rRNA from 1 species